GUGCGCGCUCCUGCCUGCGUGCCCGAGACGCCCGGAUGGGCUGACACGCCUGUUCGCGCGGAUUCCGGAGACCCUAGCUGGCGCUGAGGGCUUCCUCUAGUAGGCGGUGGUCGAGUUGCACAGGUUAAUACAGAGUAGAGAAAAGAACGUGCCGGGACAUAGUUAUAGUAUUUAACUUCUUGUGAAGGAAGUAUGCUUGGGUUCGCCUGAAUGAAACAGCCCCUGCGGCGAGAGAGUGACAGUCCUGGAUCACCACCUUCUUCGGCCGUCCGCUGCCCAGGUCAGGAUGAGGAAUCUGCACCGAGAUUGACUGACUUUAAGAACGCACCUCGGGGUGGAGCUCAGUAGUGGAGCACUUGCUUACAUGCUUGAGGCCCAGCACUGCACAAAUAAAGUAACAAAACACACAA